rnacentral:rRNA from 1 species
CGGACGGGUGAGUAACGCGUGGGUAACCUGCCUCAUACAGGGGGAUAACAGUUAGAAAUGACUGCUAAUACCGCAUAAGCGCACAGGGAUGCAUGUCCUGGUGUGAAAAACUCCGGUGGUAUGAGAUGGACCCGCGUCUGAUUAGCUGGUUGGCGGGGUAACGGCCCACCAAGGCGACGAUCAGUAGCCGACCUGAGAGGGUGACCGGCCACAUUGGGACUGAGACACGGCCCAAACUCCUACGGGAGGCAGCAG